AGUGGCUAUUGGUCAGUGGAGUUGUCGGUGAACUGAAAGAUCAAAAUGUAUUGCCCUUUCUGUGGCAUCCAAUGGCUGACUUUGCCAAGAUUUUGCAGUUCAUGUGGGCGAGAUGUAAGCUUUGUCGUAGAGAAUGCCCCUAGAACGGCGGGUGAUGACCAGGUGUCAGCAAACAAAACAAAAACAAG